AGAGUUUGAUCCUGGCUCAGGAUGAACGCUAGCGGCAGGCUUAACACGAUGCAAGUCGAGGGGCAGCGCGGGUAGCAAGUACCUGGCGGCGACCGGCGAAAGGGUGCGUAACGCGUGAGCAACUUGCCCGUAUCCGGGGGAUAAGCGCUGGAAACGGCGUCUAAUACCGCAUAACAACAGAGGCCGCAUGACUUCUGUUUGAAAACUCCGGUGGAUACGGAUGGGCUCGCGAGACAUUAGCUUGUUGGCGGGUAACGGCCCACCAAGGCUACGAUGUCUAGGGGUUCUGAGAGGAAGGUCCCCACAUUGGAACUGAGACACGGUCCAAACUCCUACGGGAGGCAGCAGUGAGGAAUAUUGGUCAAUGGCCGGAAGGCUGAACCAGCCAUGCCGCGUGAAGGAUUAAGGCCCUAUGGGUCGUAAACUUCUUUUGUGGUGGAGCAAUAAGUGUCACGUGUGGCACGAUGAGAGUACAUCACGAAUAAGCAUCGGCUAACUCCGUGCC
rnacentral:rRNA from 1 species